rnacentral:pre_miRNA from 1 species
GGGGGGAGGCCGGAUCCUGGGCUGUGUCCCCAGAGCCCUGUGCUCCCGGGCCUGCACUGUUCGAUUCGCGCUCCCGACCGCCCAGCCCCCU